rnacentral:rRNA from 1 species
GACGAACGCUGGCGGCGUGCUUAACACAUGCAAGUCGAACGGAAAGGCCCUGCUUUUGUGGGGUGCUCGAGUGGCGAACGGGUGAGUAACACGUGAGUAACCUGCCCUUGACUUUGGGAUAACUUCAGGAAAAUGGGGCUAAUACCGGAUAGGAGCUCCUGCUGCAUGGUGGGGGUGGGAAAGUUUCGGCGGUUGGGGACGGACUCGCGGCUUAUCAGCUUGUUGGUGGGGUAGUGGCUUACCAAGGCUUUGACGGGUAGCCGGCCUGAGAGGGUGACCGGCCACAUUGGGACUGAGAUACGGCCCAGACUCCUACGGGAGGCAGCAGUGGGGAAUAGUGCAAGAUGGGCGGAAGCCUGAUGCAGCAACGCCGCGUGCGGGAUGACGGCCUGCGGGUUGUAAACCGCUUGCGCCUGUGACGAAGCGUGAGUGACGGUAAUGGGUAAAGAAGCACCGGCUAACUACGUG